GAUGAACGCUAGCUACAGGCUUAACACAUGCAAGUCGAGGGGAAACGGCAUUGAGUGCUUGCACUCUUUGGACGUCGACCGGCGCACGGGUGAGUAACGCGUAUCCAACCUUCCCAUUACUGUGGGAUAACCUGCCGAAAGGCAGACUAAUACCGCAUAGUCUUCGAUGACGGCAUCAGAUUUGAAGUAAAGAUUUAUCGGUAAUGGAUGGGGAUGCGUCUGAUUAGCUUGUUGGCGGGGUAACGGCCCACCAAGGCGACGAUCAGUAGGGGUUCUGAGAGGAAGGUCCCCCACAUUGGAACUGAGACACGGUCCAAACUCCUACGGGAGGCAGCAGUGAGGAAUAUUGGUCAAUGGACGGAAGUCUGAACCAGCCAAGUAGCGUGCAGGAUGACGGCCCUAUGGGUUGUAAACUGCUUUUGUAUGGGGAUAAAGUUAGGGACGUGUCCCUAUUUGCAGGUACCAUACGAAUAAGGACCGGCUAAUUCCGUGCCAGCAGCCGCGGUAAUACGGAAGGUCCAGGCGUUAUCCGGAUUUAUUGGGUUUAAAGGGAGCGUAGGCUGGAGAUUAAGUGUGUUGUGAAAUGUAGACGCUCAACGUCUGACUUGCAGCGCAUACUGGUUUCCUUGAGUACGCACAACGUUGGCGGAAUUCGUCGUGUAGCGGUGAAAUGCUUAGAUAUGACGAAGAACUCCGAUUGCGAAGGCAGCUGACGGGAGCGCAACCGACGCUUAAGCUCGAAGGUGCGGGUAUCAAACAGG
rnacentral:rRNA from 1 species